UACGAAGGGGCUAGCGUUGCUCGGAAUUACUGGGCGUAAAGGGCGCGUAGGCGGCCCGCUAAGUCGAACGUGAAAUCCCCGAGCUCAACUCGGGAACUGCGUCCGAUACUGGUGGGCUUGAAUCCGGGAGAGGGAUGCGGAAUUCCAGGUGUAGCGGUGAAAUGACGUAGAUAUCUGGAGGAACACCGGUGGCGAAGGCGGCAUCCUGGACCGGCAUUGACGCUGAGGCGCGAAAGCUAGGGGAGCAAACGGGG
rnacentral:rRNA from 1 species